UAGCAGAUUUUUUGAUAGUCGUAAUUAAAUAUUUUGGAUAGAUUUAAUUUUUGAAUGAAACACUUCCUUCUCGUUCAUUGCAUUAUCUGUUGCACUUCAAAUGCACAUAUUUAUGUUUAUCUGUUGUAGGGUUGCCAUACAACAAGUAUUAUUCGAAAUUGUAGGUAUUUUGGCUGUCAUUCCAGGAAAACUUUGUAUAGUUUUGAUAUACUUUAAGUAUUGAUUUUUGGAAAAUAUAAUAUUUUAGAGACAUGAUAACAAAUGUUAUCAUAGGUUUUUUAAGGCUGUUCUGGAAUGAUAUUUGUUAGGUUUUGUUUACUUCAAGGUCUGAUACAGAAACUGGAGUAAUUUUCAUUUAAUGAAUUAGAGUAUUUUAUUGUUUAUUCGUUUGCCACCCGGCUUUUGUUUUGGGUCCUUUAAAUUCGAGAUCAUUCAGUGCGCCGUUCUUUCUGUGACGAGAUCCUCUUGUAUAGUGAUCGGACGGCCGUAUAAGGGCCUGGAGCCCGGCAUGCCACGUGCUGCCGUGGCGUUCCAUAUUUUGUGUGGUGCGUUCUGUCAGUCUGACUGGCAGAAACAUGCUAAGGGUGGGAGUGCUCCUUGGAGAUCCUCGGUCUGCAGUCUGCAGGUCUCCGGAGUCGGGAAGAAGUAAAGAAUUAGAGAAUUGCAGAAGUAGAUAAUUAAACAAGAACCUUUACAAUUUCGAUGUGCAAGGAAACUUUCUUUGGCGUUACUGGCGCAAGGUGCCUUUGGACCUUGUUUUCGUAUGGAAGGGUCAGCCCUGUCCACGUGGCGAGGGGGCGUCAGCACCGGAGUCCGGGGAGCAGCCGGCUCAUCCCUGACAAGGUGUGUCUCCUGCCCGUUUCCUGCCGGUAGUGAUGUGUAAUUCAGGUUUUAAUUUCUGUGUAAAGUAAUUUCUGAUUUCAUUUAUUUUGAGAAUUCUGGUGCAUAACUUUAGGUAAAUUCAUAUUUAGUUUUUGUAGAAUAAAUGGUUGUAAGAAACCUUUUCCUGGACCCUCUUAAAGCGGCCCAGCUUUACCACUGAGCGUAGUUCUUAUUUCAUAUGUGGUGUCAAAUUUAGUAUUUUGGAAACAUUAACUUAAACCUAUCUGUAAGGCAAGAUUUUGGUAUAAUAAAUAUAUAAAAUGUGAUAUUGUUUAAUUUGUUUCUCCUCUAGCUUUCCUCCAGCAAGUAUAGAGACACCAUUUAGCUUUUGUUUUAUUAUAAAUUUUGUGCUAACGUGGGUGUAUUUACUUUGAACUAGCCGGAGCUUUCCAUUCCAUUUAAUUUACCCCCCACCAAAUACACCUCCGUUACACUGG